GUUUAGACCAAGAAGGUCUGUUUCUUAUUGUGAAUGUAAAGUCUUGAAUACAUUUGAAAUCAAUGUUUGCAUUUUUUAAAAAUUUACAGAGUAAAAAUCACAGAAGCAGGAGAUAACUAUAAACGCACUGAAAGCAGAAAAAAGAAGUUUGCUAAGCUGAUCACAUAAAGCUCAACUUUGGCCCACAGCAAAGAGACACUUCAGAAAACAAUGAUUCAAUAUUAAAUUACAUGGUCAAAACAUUAAACAUUUAGCUCUGUGGGUUUCAACAGCAUGGAUCACACAGCUGAAUACUGCAGUUAGGGGUUAAGGUAGUCUUCUCCAAAGUGGAUGAUGUUUUUCAGAGCACUCAGGAGCAGAACAUCAAUGUCAUUGUUGGUGUCAAUCUCUUCAUGGUAGUUCUUCACCGGGAAGAUGCAGUUCAUCGGGAUCCCCAUCUUUGCACUGAGCUCCUCCAUCUAGUGAAACAAAUUUAAACAAAAGCUCAAAUUCUCUCAGUAAACAUUACAGCCCAGAGCUCUGUAAAAUCACAACACAGUUGAAUGCGCACUGUACUGCUGAUCAAUUGGACCAAAGAGGUUUAGAUCUGAUUAUUAUAAGCAGAUAAUAGCAGCUGAAUUUUAAAGAAGGAAGAGCAGUGACCUUUCUUUAAAACAAGAAGUAAUGAGGCCUGAUUCAGAAUGGCUGUUUCAUUUAUCUAUUCAAUUAAACUCAGAGUCUAUGAUACUAGUCUGGUGCCACUGUAUGUUUUGACAGAAAAACACUGGUCUCAAAUAAAGACUGGAUCUGGACUAUAUGUCUCUGGUUUCCUGGUUGGCCUGAUCAGGACAGUCACUGCCAAUCAGGGUGAAAUGUAGUGACUUUGGCGUAACCUCUAUGAGGAUAUCAGGGCUUUCAGAUGACCUCUCUGAGGAGAAAAGGACUCUGAGUGACCUCUAUUAGAGCAUGGGGACUUUGAAAGGACCAAGACGAGGAGUUCAGGACUUUGGAAGGACCUUACAGCCUGGCUUUUGGUGGGGUCUCUAGGUUUGUGUCCUUCCUCAAAAAGGAAUCUUCUAGGGCAGUGGUUCUUAACCUUGUUUGAGGUACCUAACCCCCCAGUUUCAAAUGCACAUUCACCGAACCCUUCUUUAGUGAUAAAUAAAUAUGAUUUUUUUCCAAAUUCAAGACAUUGUUUAUAUCCGACGUCUUCUGCUGAUUUAAACGAUUUCUGCCGACUUUGCAGAGUCAACUGCAGAAUUAACGGUGUUCUGAAUGAACAGCGCUUUGAAAAGUCCUGCAGCAUGUGUUAGACGUCACCACUACACAUGGACCAAUCAGGGGCUGCCUUUCCCUGUUGUCCGGGUAACAGUGGAAACACGGUCUCUGAUUGGCCCAGUUAUUUUCUGAUUGGGAAUACAUGCUCUCUAUGGGCCGAAGUCCAGACUGUGGUGGGAAGGAACAUCAAGUGAUUGACGCAACAGGAUGGCCCAGCCAGGCUACCGCGGCGGAGGCUCCGCCGAACCCCUGAGACCGACUCACCGAACCCCUAGGGUUCGAUAGAACCCCGGUUAAGAACCACUGUUCUAGGGUAUCAUACACAAUCUCACUCAGUGCACUAAUCCAAACUCAUGAAUUCUCAAAUCACUGCUAUGCAGAUGAUACUGAGCUCUUCCUGUCAUCCUGACUAGAGGACACAGAUUCAGAUCUGGCUUGGAUCAAAUGAACUUGUGCCCACUAAGGUCUGUGGAAUGACCUGCAUAGGGAGGGCAAGGGUUUUUCUGUCAAAGUAUUUAAUCAACUUUGGUUUUAAAAGAUAAAAACACUAUUUUUAUAAUCAUUUUUAUUGAUUUAUUUUUAUAAAUUAUGAUUUUUAAUCAAAAAUCAGUGCUGAGCGAAGGAGCCCAGUGGUGUGUUAUUUGUAGACUACUUUUUUAAAGUAUGAUUCCCUCUUAAAAAAAUUAUGAAAUCAACAAGUAAGCAUACGUUCUUCUUCAGAAACCUGGACCUGUAGACGGUUUUUAAAUCUUUGUUGACAGGACAGACGUCAUCAAUGUGGGUGAGGAUGGCCACUUGAGGGAUCCCUGUCAAACACAAAACUUUGAGUCCCUUGAGAGAAAAAAUAUUUCAAAAGCCACUGUUCUUCUUCAGAUACAUAAAUCAAAACCAGGUAGAGGAACUGUUUGAAGAUCUGUCAAAGUUUAAACUGUGUUUUUAUUUUCUAAGUUUUGUCUAGCCCUUGAGAAAAAUAUUGGAAAAGUUUUUCUGUUCUUACCCAGGCGAAUGGCUUCCUUCCUGAUGUCACGUAACUUUCUCAGAGUUUCAUCUUCUAUUAGGGAUAUCGGGCAGGCAUCAACAACACAAACCAGAACAUUCACUUUGUCAUUCCCAGAUGGAUUUUGGACAAAGAACGGAUUCUCCUCAGUCAACUUGGAUUCAGGGUUGAACUGGAAAACAGUUUUCAAUUCAUUUGAAGAACAUUAGAUUGAAACACAUGUUAACUAAGACAGAAUUCUGAUUUAAUAAAUGGUGCAUUUAAAUCUCUUUGGAGGAAAAAUGUGCAAAGUUUGCAGUAAAUGUACCUCGUAAUUUUCCAUGACAUGUCCUUUCAAAGCCAGUUUGACAUCAUCUGGAUGGACCCCUCCACUGUUUUCCAGGCCCAUGAUGUAAUUGAACACAAAAGGGUAAUAUUCCCCUGAGGUCCCUUUGUGGAUCCUGUAGGUUUUGAACUUUUAAAGACAGAUGGAGGAGAGUGUAGUGAGUUGAGGUUAGCCAUCUUUGGCACCUAACAAUUCAAUCCGAUCACAAUUCAGGGUGCUACAAUUUGAUAAUCAAACAAUUGUAAUGAUUAUUAUGAUUUUAAAGAUUAUUAGAAUUAUUAAUGCAUAUUUUUUCUAUACAGGAUUUUUAAAAAUAUAUUUGUCAGCAUCCAUAAAACAAAGUAAACAAAUUUACCUCCAUUAUAUUAUUUUUAAUAGACCAAUGAUCCAACACUUUUUUUCACCUAAAAAGCUGCUCAAAUAAACACUUACUGGUGUUUCUGUAAUUUCAACGUCAUGGGAAAUAAUCAACUUUGAAUAUUUUUUAAUCCUAAUUGAUCGUCACGUGUUCCAUCGUGAUGCAUUGAAGAACUGAUGCAUUGGCCCACCCCUAAUUUAAAUCUUUCCUCUUCAUUCUCUGAGUCCAAGUCAAAGUCUCUGAACAGCAAGAUCCAGUCCAGUCUCCCAUAGAUUAAAAAAUAGCAAAAUAAGAAUUGUAUAGCCACGAAUGAAAGUGCAAAGCUAUCUCUGAGACUGUGACCACAGUCAUUUGCCAACAUUAAAAGGUGGGGCCUACAUCUCUCAUCAGAACUUUCCCAACAUGCACAGGGGUAAUGAGUGAUCAUUUUAAUUUCAGGACAGAGAUCUCAUGGGGAUGAAAAAAGGCUAAAAUUGGGCAAUAAAUAUGCUUGAGUGGCCUUCUUAGUUAUAGUCUAUGUGUGGAUGCUCAUGCACCAGAAGCUGAAAAUCAGGUGUGAUAAAAUAGCCACCCUUUGCUCUUGAUGACAGAAGUACUUGGUAAAGGCACACCUGUGAAGUAAAAACCAAUACAGGUGACUACCUCAUGAAGCUCAUUGAGAGAACAGCAAAAGUUUGCAGCGCUAUCAAAAAAGCAAAGGGUGGCUACUUUGAGGAAUCUAAAACUUAAACAUGUUUUCCGUUAUUUCACACUUUUUUCUUAAGCACAUGAUUCCACAUAUGUUCAUUCAUAGUUUUGAUGCCCUCAGUGAGAAUCUACAGUACAAAUAGUAAUGAGAAUAAAGAAAAUGCAUUAAAUGAGAGGGUGUGUCCAAACUUUUGGCCUGUCCUGUAUACGACGUAAGUUGGACUCAAGUCCAAGUCUAAAACUCAAGUCUUCAUUCCUUCUUGGCGUAAUUAUUGUCUCUCAUUGUUUUUUGUACAAUUACUAUGCAGACAAUUCCCAGCUCUUUCUGUCAUCCACACACAACUCUUUCAGCUCAAAUCUCAUGAUGCUUUUCUGAUAUCUCAGAAUGGAUGAAGAAACACCAUUUUCGACUCUGACCGAUACCCAGUUUGAAUCAGAGAAACUCAUGCACAGAAAGUCUGUCCGGAAACUAGGGUGUCAUGAUUGAUGACCAGCUAACCUUUAAGGAUCUUGUAGCCUCAAUUGCUUGGUUGUGCCUUUUAGCCCUCUAUAACAUGACUUUUUCCCAUGAAGCUAAAUAAAAGACAUACUGCAGUAUGAACAAGCCAACCACAGAUUGUGGUAGAAGAUCUCUGUGAAUCAAGGCAACACUUUGAUUUUGAAGUCUCACCUAGAGUGGACACCAAAAUUAGUGCUUUGGUUGGGGAUUAAAAUGAUUGAAAUCACUUGUUGGAGCUGAGCCCACCUGCAGUAGUCCUCUAUGUGGUAUCUCAGCAAAGGGGGCCCAAGUCAUGUGGGAUCCCUUUGGCAAAUACACUUAACAUUGACGAGCACCUGAAAUUAACACACUUGAAAACAACUAAAUCAUCCCUUAAAGUAAUAAAAGUAAAGAUUAUCAUGACAAAAGGCAUGCACUGGGAGUUAGUAGAUUUUUCAUUAUCAUUACAAAUUUGAGACAUUUCCUUUAUGUUACAACAAAAAAGUUGUCAUACCGUUGUGGUGAAACUUCUGCUGUAGUUAUGGCUUGCCAAAGCGUUGAUGUACGGUCUUUCACGUAAGAGACUGUUAACAGAGUUGAUGAAACUGGACUUUCCACUUCCAGGUGGCCCAUAAAGAAGAAUUCUGAUCACUUGUUCUGGGGUCUUAGGUUUGUAGUUCUUCAAAUAGUCCAGAAUGCCUCGUCUGUCCCUGUUCAGAGGAGGAAAGAUGUGUGACAUAAAAUGAUAACAACCACACAUUAUUUUAGUUUUGCAUAAUUAAGUGACGCACAUUCAGUGCAGGAUGUGAAACUAUGGAGGGAGAGAAAGGAUGGAUCAGGCGAGGUGUCAGUGUACACACAAACUGUCAUGUGACUAUCUCAUAAAAGUCCCACAUUAGUUCUUAUGUGUUUUAUGUAAGUAGUGCACACAGAUGGACUUCCAGAUGUAUGGGGGAACUAUGAAUGGUGACUCUGGACAAAUAUCUUCUUAUCCAGUCCUUGUACAUGUACUCAUGUCAUCAAAGGUAAUUUAAGGACAGCUCUUAUAGAAAUAUACUGUGCAACACACUGUUACUGUCUAUCUCUGUUCUGACCCUGAGUCAAGGCUGAGAAACAAAAGCUGAACCCAGUCUGCAAAACAAAGAAAGCAAGAGUUGCCAACAGUUUGUCAUGGAUGAGCAUGCUUUCGUUAUGACUGAUGUUAAGUGGUAAUGCCCUGUGUCUAAAAAAAGUCAGAGGACAGUCCUCUGAGCAUUUGCUUACAGACUCUCUGUUUGUGACUGCUCUUUCUUGCAAGAAGAAAAAUCUUUAACUGAGACCUAUCCUUUUUUAAAUUCUUCAUAACAUUUUCACUUUUUAUUAGCUCAGAUAAAUGUGCAGCAGAGUUGUGUGCACAUGGAAUUUGCAGAUAUUGCAAAAGGUGGACAUAGACUGAUGUAUCUUGAGCUCUUUUUGCAGCAGCAGUGCAAACUGUCAUGCAGCCAUGUGUGGGGAGAGGAUAGUGGGGGGAGGAGGAAGGUGUGUGUCUGCAUAUGUCAGAAAAGCAGAAACACAAGUUUGACAAGAGAGAAGUGUGCAGUGAGCAUGAACUAGCACCAAACAUUAAAACUGAAGGAGUAAAAGUGAAUCAUUUUUAGACCAACAAAAUCAUCUCUUAAUCAAUUCUUGGAGCUAACUUAUUUGUUUAUUUAGUUGGUAGCUGAGUAAUUACAGGGAUAAUAAUAACAGUUAUAGUAAUUUUAAUGGUAAUAUUAAUAAUACUAAUAACCAAUGUAUUUAUACUGCACCAUUCAAAAAGGUUUACUAAGUGCUUACCCAGGUAAACACAGACAUACAUAAGAACAAAGCAGAGGAGUAAACGAGAGAGUUAAAAAACAACAACAACAACAACAAAAAACAGAUCUUAACUCAGAAUCUUAACCCUUUGCUGUCAGGAUUUGGUUUUGUAUAUCCACUGGUACUUUGUAAAUCACACACCCAGGGAUUUAGGAAAAUAGUACAUUAGAGAGCACUUACCUCCAGUUGAGUUGCCGCCAUGGCUCACUGAACACUGAAAGUAAAACAAAUUUUAGGUUUAGUCAGAAUUUUUCCAAAAAAUUUUAUUUUGAUAAAAGAUUUGUUUAAUAUUCAAAAAUAAUAUUACAUGGCUCUGGAUCAGGGUUUGGCUCUGGAAAGUAUGAAUACAACCCUCCCAUGGCUGCAGAGAAAAAAAAGGAAAUAACUGCUUAUAUUUCCUGAAAAUCAUAAUUAGCCUAGAAAACUGUGAAAAAAAAAUCCUUGUAAGAAAUCUCUGGGUUACAUUUGAAAAAAUCCAAAACAUUACCCUGUGAGUGCUUUCCUGUCCUCUUUCUAUACAAAUAAGUUAAUCAAUGAAAUCAAAAUGAGUUGAACAGUAUUCCUGAACAUGCAAACUUUUAAAUAGAAAGUCCACUUAAAAAAGAUGCCUUGGCUCUCAAACAAAGUUCAUUUGAAAAACUGUUUGAUAACAUCUCUUUUCCUUCGGCUCUGUGUAAUCACUCUUGAUGUUACGUGACCAUUUAAAAACACACUGGGGAAUGAUCGUCAAGAUAACAAGCUCUUGAGUCAGAAUGAAAGUAAAAGUAAAGCAGCUCUUCAGGUCAGUAGAGUGUAAAUAAGCUACCAGCCUCUGUAAAUGCUGUUGAAAAUCUCAGGUCUCAUCUACACAGACUUUCUAGGAUAGAAACAGCAAAAUGUGGCAUCUUAUUGUUCAUGCCAAAUCAUAUAAAAAUCAGUUCAGGACAUCUCUGUGUAAACUGCUGAAGUCCUCUCUAAAAGUUUCAGCUCUGAGACAUCUUCAUUAAAUUUGAUAAUCAAACAUACCCUUUCAUUCAGACAGUCUUUGUUUUCAUGAACAGUCUGUAUAUUUGAUUUGAUGACAGGCUCAUCAAAAUGUUUCAUAAUUUAAACUUUUCUUAUAAUCACAAUGUUCUCUCUUAUAACACUGACUCUGUUAUAAUCAUGACAUACUUUCAUAAUUGUAACUUACAAUUUUAUGACUAUGUUAUAGCUUUAUUUUUUUGUGAUAAUUCUGAAAAAUUUCCCAGUCAUAACUCACUGUCUUGAUAUUAUGACUUUCUAUCAUAUAGUUAUAUUUGUCUUAAGAUUGUGAUAUAUAUUUCUCAUUUUUCUUAUAACUUUGAAGUCAUUUUAUAAUUAUGACUCUUAAUCUUAACUUACCACCUUACAACUGGGACUUACUACCUUUUAUUUUGGCCUUUUAAAACAUUUUUCUUACAUUAAUUAUCAACCAUUUUAUAAUUAGAACUCUUUUAAUUAUGUUUUUUUCAUUGUAUUUUUGACUUAAGACAUUUUGCUGAACUUAACUUAAGCUCUUUAGUGAAGAUUUAACAGUGUUAAAGAAACCGUAUUUCGUUUUUUUAACUUUGACUUACAGCCAAAUAUUACACUAACUUAUCUAAGAUAGAUUUCUAGGGUUGAACCAGAAACAGAAAGGUCUUACCGUGGUUGGUGUUCUGGGUUUCAAAAUACUCAGAUGUAUCAGUUUUGUCGGACUCUACUCUGAUGUUUCCUCUUCUGAAGUCUGAGAAAUGCACAUACGCAAUUUGGUUAUACUUUGUCACAGCCACAGGAUUUCCUAUCCUGUCGAUUUUAGUUUCUCUUUCUCCUCCUGCCUCUCUGUUGUAGCAGAGGUGACCACUUUUUUAACACAACCCCCCAAAGGAAUGUAAGGCUUACAUCUGCUCACCAGAGACAAGAUGUUUUAGACCUUUAACACCAAAUCACAAUCUUUGUAAAACCUCCUGUCUCUAUACAAGACAAACAAAGAAGCCUUCUCAAAAAGACAAACCUUUCCACUUCAAAGAGACAGAGACAGAGACAGAAUCGUUUAUGGCCAGCAGGAAAGAACUGCAGGACCACUCGAUCAGAUAAACAUUUGUCAUCACAUCUUGACAAAGAUGACAAAGAUGUGAUGACAUCUUUUCCUCCCCUCGGCUGAUGCUGCUGCAGCCUGUGAACUCCUCCAUAGUGAAGUGUCCAAGCUACAAACAUCACACCCUCAGUCUCUGAUCAUCAUCUCUGGCCCAACUGCCCAACGAGAGACAAUAAAACUUUGGGUAUGACUGAGGUGUUGCAGGACUGUUUUGAGACUACAGACUGGGAUGUACUGUGCGGCCCACAUGGUGAUGACAUCGACACCAUGACAGAUUGUCACGGACGAUAUAAACUUCUGUGUUGAUAACACCGUACCCACCAGGAAAAUACGGUGUUUCUCCAACAGCAAACCUUGGGUGACCAGCAGAAUAGUAUGCUACAUGCUACAGACAGUCAUCUCAACGCUGUUGUCUAAUCGGAACUGCAAACAGUCAGUCUGCUGUUGCGUCAGUCUUCUCGCUUCCACCCGGGACGUGUGAUAUGAGAGAGUGUGGAGGAUGCCCUCUGCAGUGCUUACAGUGACACUUGUUGAGGGGCUGCCUUCUGUCGCCAUUGUGUUGCAUUGCUGUCUUCAGCCAUCUCCUGAUCUUUCAAACCACUUGAUGAAAAUUGUAAAAUGCCUCGUGGUGGCGGAUUUAAAGGUGAGGAGAGGAGCUGAUGUGAUUGGUGAAAACAGGACUCGGCUGUGUCAAACCCACUCCAUGCCUUAUCCCCUCCCUCUGUACUACUUACACCGCUGGGAGGAGCUGAGUUAGGGAGGGGAGAUACUAAAUCCGGGCUGCGCUGCUCACCAAAAUACCGAAGUGUGCUUGGGCACGCCUCAUCGGUGCAGUGGAUUUGACUUACGCAGCGCUACACAAAACAAAACAACUUCAGCUACUUUUGUGCACAUAGCAAUCCAAGAUUAAGUGCGUUCAUGAUUCAAAUAAUCGCUAAUUUGAGUAAUCCUAAAUUCAUCCAGAUCCACAUCCAAAUUUAUCUCUACACCAAAGUUAAUGUAGGUUAAUAUGUUAGAGCGUAUUCACACACUAUCAUUAACUUUAGAAAUCAUAGCCUGACUCAGAAUCUUUCAUUCAUCUUUCAUUAUUUAUCCUCAUUAUCUUAUCAUCAUUUACUGCAUGUGUGUUGGACCAGUAUUUACCCGGCGAUAAACCGAACAUUAUUUUUCUAAGUUCUUGUCUGUUAGUGUUCUUCCAGAAGUGGAGUUCCUGAAAUGAGAAUGUCGGCUUGAGAUAUGAGAUUGAUUUAAAAUUGAUUUAAGAUUAACUUAAUGUUUGAUUUCUGAAUUAAACCUUUGUUUUUCUUUAUUUCUACCGUCAUUAAGGUGGGUCGUGCCCCUUUCAAUGAGUGCAUAAAUGUCAUGAUUUAAGAUUAUUAUCUCAGGACACUUGUUAUUCAUUCCUAUCGCUACACUGUUCUCGGUGUGCAUUGUACACAGUGUAGAAUGGUGAGCUGAACGAAAUGCACCAUACACGUCUUGUGAAAUCUCUUGUUUUGAAACAUGACUUUUGAGAAAAUAAACAUGGUAUACUACAAGAGCCAAUGAUAUUAUGCAGUGUAGAUAAUGAAAUCCACUCAUUCUUUCAAAUUUGACACUCAGGGACAUUAUUCUGAAACUUUUCAACUAUUAGCUCAUGCAGUCUCUCACAGAGUGGUGAACCUCUUCCCAUCUUUCCUUCUGAGAGACUCCGUCUCUCUGAAUGUCUUUUUUAUACUCACUCAUGUUACUAACCUGUUGGAAAUUAACCUCAUUAGUUGGAGAUGUUCCUCCAGCUGAUGUUUUUAGCAUUAAACGACGUAUUCAGAGUUUUGUUGUCCUCAUCCAACUUUUUGAAAUGUACUGCUACCAUCAAACUUAAAAACAAACCAACGUAUUUUUCAUCAAAUGAUCAAAUGUUUCAGUGUCAGCAUUAAUAUCUUGUCCAAGACCUAUUUUUGAUCCAAUUUCACAUGGUGUCUUUACUUUUUUGAACUGGGGUGGUACACUGAGACAAACUGUAACCAAACUUUGUUCAUUUAUGGACAGAAUAUGAAAACCGUAGUACAAGACGAGUGACCAGAAACUGAUGACUAAAGUCACAUCCUUGAUUUACAUUUGAUGGUAAGCACUUCCUGUAUAUUUGUCCCACUCUUUGUGAUCUCAAGCUGGACCCCUAAAAAAUUUAGUAAUUUCAUGACAGAACAUGAAAAUUACAAAUUUGAUUUUGUCUCAAAUGUAGAUCUGCAUGAACUCUCAGAGAUUUCAUGUGAGCCCCUAACAGAGGGUAAAGCUUCAGAAGAUGACAGCCUGCUGCCCUCUGCUGGAGCUUUGUGGCGUUACACUCUGCUCCAUCUUGUUCGGUCUACUUAAAAACCAAAUUGUCUGACUAAACAAGUCUGAGGUCAUGAAGGUCAUUACAAACUCAAGGCAAAGAUAUUCUUACCAUGUUUUUAAAAAAUAUUUUAACAUGUAACUCACUAUGCAAUAACAUAAUUAAUUCAGGUUUUACUGAUUGACACCAAAAAUAAAGACAAAUGUAAGACAGGAGUUUAGACCAAGAAGGUCUGUUUCUUAUUGUGAAUGUAAAGUCUUGAAUACAUUUGAAAUCAAAUUUUGCAUUUUUUUAAAACUUCAUAGAGUAAAAAUCACAGAAGCAAGAGAGAACUAUAAACUCACUGAAAGCAGAAAAAAGUUUGCUAAGCUGAUCACAUAAAGCUCAACUUUGGCACAUAGUAAAGAGACACUUCAGAAAGCAAUGAUUCAAUAUUACCUUAAAUGGUCAUUACAUUUAAUAUUUAGCUCUGUGGGUUUCAGCAGCAUGGAUCACACAGCUGAAUACUGCAGUUAGGGGUUAAGGUAGUCUUCUCCAAAGAUGAUGAUGUUUUUCAGAGCACUCAGGAGCAGAACAUCAAGGUCAUUGUUGGUGUCAAUCUCGUCAUGGUAGUUCUUCACAGGGAAGAUGCAGUUCAUCGGGAUCCCCACCUUUGCACUGAACUCCUCCAUCU